UACGUAGGGUGCGAGCGUUGUCCGGAAUUACUGGGCGUAAAGAGCUCGUAGGUGGUUUGUCGCGUUGUUCGUGAAAACUCACAACUCAAUUGUGGGCGUGCGGGCGAUACGGGCAGACUGGAGUACUGCAGGGGAGACUGGAAUUCCUGGUGUAGCGGUGGAAUGCGCAGAUAUCAGGAGGAACACCGGUGGCGAAGGCGGGUCUCUGGGCAGUGAACUGACGCUGGAGGAGCGAAAAGCGUGGGGAGCGAACAGG
rnacentral:rRNA from 1 species